AGCAGCUCACUGGGCGUAAAGCGUGCGCAGGCGGUUUUGUAAGACAGAGGUGAAAUCCCCGGGCUCAACCUGGGAACUGCCUUUGUGACUGCAAGGCUGGAGUGCGGCAGAGGGGGAUGGAAUUCCGCGUGUAGCAGUGAAAUGCGUGGAUAUGCGGAGGAACACCGAUGGCGAAGGCAAUCCCCUGGGCCUGCACUGACGCUCAUGCACGAAAGCGUGGGGAGCAAACA
rnacentral:rRNA from 1 species